CCUACGGGUGGCUGCAGUGAGGAAUAUUGGUCAAUGGACGAGAGUCUGAACCAGCCAAGUAGCGUGAAGGAUGACUGCCCUAUGGGUUGUAACCUUCUUUUAUAUGGGAAUAAAACGUUCCACGUGUGGGCUUUUGUAUGUACCAUAUGAAUAAGGAUCGGCUAACUCCGUGCCAGCAGCCGCGGUAAUACGGAGGAUCCGAGCGUUAUCCGGAUUUAUUGGGUUUAAAGGGAGCGUAGGUGGAUUGUUAAGUCAGUUGUGAAAGUUUGCGGCUCAACCGUAAAAUUGCAGUUGAAACUGGCAGUCUUGAGUACAGUAGAGGUGGGCGGAAGUCGUGGUGUAGCGGUGAAAUGCUUAGAUAUCACGAAGAACUCCGAUUGCGAAGGCAGCUCACUGGACUGCAACUGACACUGAGGCUCGAAAGUGUGGGUAUCAAACAGGAUUAGAUACCCGGGUAGUC
rnacentral:rRNA from 1 species